UACUCCUACGGGAGGCAGCAGUAGGGAAUCUUGCGCAAUGGGCGAAAGCCUGACGCAGCCAUGCCGCGUGAAUGAUGAAGGUCUUAGGAUUGUAAAAUUCUUUCACCGGGGAAGAUAAUGACGGCACCCGGAGAAGAAGCCCCGGCUAACUUCGUGCCAGCAGCCGCGGUAAUA
rnacentral:rRNA from 1 species